rfam:Streptomyces sp. Tu 6176 genomic scaffold scaffold00002, whole genome shotgun sequence.
CUUGACCGAACCCAGCCACAGCGGCCGGUCGGCGGGCCGGGCCCGCCCGUAGGAGGCGAGCAGCGCCUGCGCCUC